rnacentral:lncRNA from 1 species
AUGUCUAAGAAACUGGCUUUGUCCCUGUUCCUCUACCAUGACCUUUACUGUGAGACAUCUAUGUGGAUCAGUAGGAAGAAUGGGUUUGGUGUGAGCAAAGCCCUGCAGCAGGACUUCCUCCUCUCUGCCCAGCUGUCAGAUGGUGCUCUGGGAUUCAGCCCCUGCACUGCCUGCUCCUCUCCUCUGUACACUGGAUGCCUUUGCUGUCCUAUGACUUGUCUAAUGUGGAGAAGACACCUGGUUGACUGCACAAAGAGCUUUCCCUCAUCCAUCAGUUCAUCUUCUUCCUCCAGCCCUCUGCCAUAAAAUUGGCCUGUGAAAGGGAACAUUGGAAGAAAAAGGACAAAAGCUGGACUGAAGUAAUCAAAGGAAGGGAAGAAGGAAGAGGUGAUGGGAGCACCAGAGCUCAGCUUUUAGGGUGAAGGGAGCUGCACCAAGCAGCUUUCUGUCUUUUACCUGAUGACCAUCCCUCCUGAAGUGCUGAGACUUGAAAUUAAAACAGAGACUUCACUUCAUGAGUGUGUGUGAUGUCUAAUGCCGGUUUUAUAGAAUUAUGUGGAAACCUCAUGCAAAUUUGCCUUCAGGCUUUUCCAUGUCCUAACCCAGACAGCUCUUUCCUCCUUUCAAUGCUUAGCAGCUUAUAUCAUACUAAAUUAUAGAGACAGUGUAUUAGAUUACCCAAAUUCACUGUCAUUUGAUGGCAUUUUGUUUUACGCACAAGUGAAUGAUGCAGAGGUGCCACUGCAAGAAGUCUUACAUGCAAACCCCUGCUAGCAGCAGACAGAUGGACAGAUUCCAGGUUGUCUUAAUUUUUUCAAUUAGCUGUCCUAAUACAAUUCCUCACCAAGCAUUUCUGAUCUUCAAGGUGUUGCAUUUACAAGAAAGCAUUAGAGAAAGAGGAGGUAUCUUUGCUUACCAGAUUAAAG